GACGAACGCUGGCGGCGUGCUUAACACAUGCAAGUCGAACGGAAAGGCCCUGCUUUUGUGGGGUGCUCGAGUGGCGAACGGGUGAGUAACACGUGAGUAACCUGCCCUUGACUUUGGGAUAACUUCAGGAAACUGGGGCUAAUACCGGAUAGGAGCUCCUGCUGCAUGGUGGGGGUUGGAAAGUUUCGGCGGUUGGGGAUGGACUCGCGGCUUAUCAGCUUGUUGGUGGGGUAGUGGCUUACCAAGGCUUUGACGGGUAGCCGGCCUGAGAGGGUGACCGGCAACAUGGGGACUGAGAGACGGCCCAGACUCCUACGGGAGGAAGAAGGGGGGAAUAUGGCACAAUGGGCGGAAGCCUGAUGCAGCACCGCCGCGUGGGGGAGGACGGCCUGCGGGUUGUAAACCGCUUUCGCCGGUGACGAAGCGUGAGUGACGGUAAUGGGUAAAGAAGCACCGGCUAACUACGUG
rnacentral:rRNA from 1 species